rnacentral:rRNA from 1 species
AUACGGAGGGGGCAAGCGUUGUUCGGAAUUACUGGGCGUAAAGCGCGCGUAGGCGGGCUGGUUAGUUGGGGGUGAAAUCCCAGGGCUUAACCCUGGAACUGCCUCCAAUACUGCCAGUCUAGAGUUCGAGAGAGGUGAGUGGAAUUCCUAGUGUAGAGGUGAAAUUCGUAGAUAUUAGGAAGAACACCAGUGGCGAAGGCGGCUCACUGGCUCGAUACUGACGCUGAGGUGCGAAAGCGAGGGGAGCAAACAGGAUUAGAUACCCUAGUAGUCC